CUAAACUUUAGGUGCAAAGCGUUUAGUUUUAAUUAGGUAGUAGAUUUAUUCUCCAGAAUUUGAUUGUGACAAAUGAGAUAAAAGCGUUACCUGCUGGUAAAUAAAGCAUAAAGGUUCAGGAACCACAAACUGAAACAAGCCGUCUAUUUUUCUCCUGCAGGGAAGCUGGCAGCCUGGGCUCCUGGAGAUUGUAUCUGGUGCUGGAGAAGACUGGCUCCCACAGUCAGUGAGAAAGAAAUUUUACUUACCCAGCACCCAGAUGAACUUUGGUGAGGAGAGGAGGUGGAGAGGUCAAGGAGCCUUGCUUUUUCACUUGCAAUUAUGGCACUUCCUUUGGAAAUGAUCAUGAACUGGGAGUCAUGCGGAAGGAAGACCAGACUGAUAAUCAGUUAGGAUCCCACCCUCAGCUUAGUCCAGAAUACUCUGCCAGUCAGCUCUUUGGCCGCAGGAAGAAUACAAGGCUUCUCUUGACUUCUUUGCAUUUUUCCAGUGCCUUUGCUUUUGGAAAUGCCACCAGAAUGAAAGCUGCAUUAUCUGUGGCAGAAAUUACUGAUACAUCUCAGAAGCAAGGAAUCAUGGAGUAUCUAUUUUCCAGCUGUGAUGUAUAUUUCCUGCAAAAGCCACAUAAUUAUGUAUAAUACACUAAUGAGUUUUUUCACAGAAACAGAAAAGAGAUUUCUAACAUUUCCUGGGAUUUCAAAAAAAAAAAAAAACAAGGAAAAGAAAGAAUUCAACUAAAUACCCAUUUGUUAGCCCAGCAUUGGAAGUCACCAGCCUUAAAGAAUGAUUGGAGAAUCAACCAGUACCAAUACUGCCAGCCUUCAUCUCCUUCGUAUCCAGCCAUACCCAGCAGAAUUUCUUGGAGCCCACAAAACGUUAAUUGAAAAGUAUUUUCCAGAUUUGAAAAGCUCCAAAGGAAGCUGUACCUGUAUGUUGCCAUUUAUUUCAAGUGUUUUCUCUUUUUGUGUAACACCUGUCAUGCCAAAGAAUUUCGCUUGUGUUUGGCAUGUGGAUGAAUCACUUCAGCCACCAAUAAAAUGUACAGCCCUUACAAGUAAAACAGAGCAACUAUCCCAGAAGACCUUGACAAUUUACAGCAGAGCUAAGAGGUGGAUUAUUCCCAAGAAGACAGAAAAAGAAAACUACUUUCUCCCUUCUGGAAGUAUCUGGAUUCAGAUCACAUACAGAGAAGAUGAUGCAAAAUCUGAGACUCUCCCUUCGUGGGGCACAGGAGCAUCUAAACAAAUCAAGAUCCAGGUCUGGAAGAAACCUGGUUGUUGGGUCAGGAGGAAUGAAGCAAGCACUGAGUGAAGACCUUGGCUCUGGAGUCAGAGCUUUCAAAGUCCUGCCAUGUGAUUUACCAGCCAUAUGACCUCAGGUGAUGAAUUAAUGUUUCUGGAGUCCUUAGCAGAGCGCCUGGUACAUAUUAAGAAUGUAACAGUGGGUAGCAAUAAUGAUCAAUGUUAUAUUCUCCACAAAAAUUAUCUUUAUCAUUGUCCUUCCUUAAUAUUGUUGUUAGACUGUGACUAAGGCAUCACCGGGGGUUUGUACACUGUGUGCAGGAAAAGUAACCAAGAAAGAUCAGCCCUAUGAGAUCAUCAAGAAAGACCUAAUGCUCCUCGUUGGACAGACAAGAAAACCCACACUCAGCAGGGUUAGGAGACCUGCUCCAAGUCACGUAGCUAGUAAGGGCAGAGGUGAGAGUCAAACCAGAGUUUCUGAUUCCAAAGCCAGUUCUUUUUCCACUACACUGCAUGGCCUCUGGGUAUUAGCAUUUCCAGGUCCCACAUACUUCCAAAUUUUUAAGGUCAAAUAAGACUCUGGAUACCAAAUAUUCACACUGGGACUACCUGUCCUUUUCUCUCCAUUUGUAGGUAUGUGGGAUUGUGGGUCCAUGGGGCAUUCUGCCCAGGCUUUAGAGCUCUCGGAUGUGCCUCCCUUCCCCAAGCUGUCUUCUCUGCCAAGGGCACAGACUGGCUCCUAUAGAGACUGAAGUACCCUUUCACAGAGUUGCUUCUGUGUCUCUCCCUGAGACUGGGCUGGGAUUGCUAUCUAACUCUUGCACUUCAGAAGUCCAGAGAACCCAAGGCAUUUGUGCUUUGUAGACACAUGCCACAAAAACUGAGCACACUUACCACUUGAAGAAACAUUAGAAUGUGCCAAAUCUCUGAAGUCCAAUUCUUAGUGCAAACUGCCAAAGCC
ensembl:lincRNA